GAUGAACGCUGGCGGCGUGCCUAAUACAUGCAAGUAGAACGCUGAAGCUUGGUGCUUGCACCGAGCGGAUGAGUUGCGAACGGGUGAGUAACGCGUAGGUAACCUGCCUCUUAGCGGGGGAUAACUAUUGGAAACGAUAGCUAAUACCGCAUAAAAGUCGACAUCGCAUGAUGUUGACUUGAAAGGUGCAAUUGCAUCACUAAGAGAUGGACCUGCGUUGUAUUAGCUAGUUGGUGAGGUAACGGCUCACCAAGGCGACGAUACAUAGCCGACCUGAGAGGGUGAUCGGCCACACUGGGACUGAGACACGGCCCAGACUCCUACGGGAGGCAGCAGUAGGGAAUCUUCGGCAAUGGGGGCAACACUGACCGAGCAACGCCGCGUGAGUGAAGAAGGUUUUCGGAUCGUAAAGCUCGGUUGUAAGAGAAGAACGAGUGUGAGAGUGGAAAGUUCACACUGUGACGGUAACUUAACAGAAAGGGACGGCUAACUACGUG
rnacentral:rRNA from 1 species